CCUACGGGUGGCAGCAGUGAGGAAUAUUUGUCAAUGGGGGAAACCCUGAAGCAGCAACGCCGCGUGGAGGAUGAAGGUUUUCGGAUUGUAAACUCCUUUUGUUAGAGAAGAUAAUGACGGUAUCUAACGAAUAAGCACCGUGUAACUCCGUGCCAGCAGCCGCGGUAAUACGGAGGGUGCAAGCGUUACUCGGAAUCCCUGGGCGUAAAGAGCGCGUAGGCGGGAUAGCAAGUCAGAUGUGAAAUCCUAGGGCUUAACCAUCGAAGUGCAUUUGAAACUGCUAUUCUAGAGUAUGGGAGAGGUAGGUGGAAUGCGUGGUGUAGGGGUAAAAUCCGUAGAGAUCAAGCAGAAUACUGAUUGCGAAGGCGACGUGCCAGAACAUAACUGACGCUGAUGCGCGAAAGCGUGGGGAGCGAACAGGAUUAGAUACCCCAGUAGUC
rnacentral:rRNA from 1 species